rnacentral:rRNA from 1 species
UACGAAGGGGGCUAGCGUUGCUCGGAAUCACUGGGCGUAAAGGGUGCGUAGGCGGGUCUUUAAGUCAGGGGUGAAAUCCUGGAGCUCAACUCCAGAACUGCCUUUGAUACUGAGGAUCUUGAGUUCGGGAGAGGUGAGUGGAACUGCGAGUGUAGAGGUGAAAUUCGUAGAUAUUCGCAAGAACACCCGUGGCGAAGGCGGCCGGCUGGGCCGACCCUGACACUGAGGCGCGAAGGCGUGGGGAGCGAACGGG